rnacentral:lncRNA from 1 species
CCGCUAAGUUGUGCGUUCCAGGGUGCACUCGCCGGCGAGGCUGCACGGCGCCGGUUUCAUUGCUAAAAUCCGACGGACUUGUUGCAGAACUCGUUUUUUUUGUCGGGAAAGGGCUUCCCCGUGUAACUUUACAGCAGUUAUCGUAGAUAAGACUUGCAAAUUACAGAUGUGGACGGUGAGGGAACGGGAAUUUCACUGAAAGCGCCUGAGAACCAGUAAGAGACCUGCAACAGCUUUGUGCUCCACUGGCGAAUGCUUCCUCCCCUAAUACACAUUAUGUGUGCUUGGAGACACAAGGAGUAAGAUACAGCCCCUCAAGGGACUCGUCAUAGGGAGAGGACACAGCUUUGGGAAUAAAGGGGCCACAAAGGAGGAGAGAGGAGUUUGCUGAAACUUCCCAAGCUCCCAUUCCAGCAGUUCCUGAAGGGUUUCCCCUCUCUUCUAGGCUGGACAAUGGAGGAGGCUUGAAACAGUAGCUGGCAAGUGGUAGAAGAGAUGGAGCAGAGAAGCAAGAAGAAGCAGACUCCUCACUCCUUCACCAGGGUGGAUUUGCUGGUUUGAAGCAGACCUGAGUUGGGAGAGGAGAGAGGCGAGAAGUUUUAAUUGGAUGAAAUAUUUCUUUAGACUGGUCUAUACUUUUUUCUUUAUAUCUAAAAUUCACUGGAAGAGCUAUGAAAUCUGUCCAAGAUUUCGUUCAGUUCAGGAAAAACCAAAACCAAAACCAUAACCAGCAGGUAAUACACAUGUGACUCAGAUGUUCAUUUCUCUCUGAGGAUCUCAUGAGGUGGCUUAGCAGCUAGAAUCUCUUCCUUAACAGUGGGAAGAACAACUCCUGGAAAUUUAGGUCGACUUUGACUGGAUUUAAAAGAAAGCUGUACAAUUCCACUUCUGUAUAUACAACCAAAGGAAAUGAGAUGUGCAUACCCAUGUUCAAUGAAGCAUUAUUCACAAUAGCCAAAAUGUGGAACCAAUCCUUAAACAAAAGGAAAACAGAAAAUCUGCUCAAGGCCCUGCAGGCACCUGAGAAAAUCACAACCCACACUUGCGAACCCCUAGGAGACCUAAAGCUGUGGUUUUACAAAUAAACAGAUAAGUAACAUUCCUACUCUUUCCUAUAGGUACUCAAUCUUCUUAACAACUCCCAUCCCACACAGGUUUGCAUCCCCAGCAGAUACAUAUGGCUAUGUGGUCACCCAUUCGAUCAGCCUAUAAAAGACUUGUCUUAUUUGAUAUUGUGAAACCCAUGGUUAUCAGUGUAUAUGAAAAUGUUUGGUUCAGGGGUCAAUGUACAAUAUGACAAGCAAAGUCCUCUAAUACACAGUUAUAUAAAAUCACUCACCUGAGAGCCAAGUGGACAAUUGGCCUUAUAUUGGCUGGAGUUGGAGCCCCAGAGGGAAAAUUUGCCUAUUAUUAGGCAACUCUUCAAAACUUUACUUAUUCGUUUCUAAACACUGUCUCAUAAAAUGGGGGAUGCUUUAGAUGAAUUAAGAUUAGCACUAGAUUACUUAUUCGUUGAAAAUUAGCACUAGAUUUCUUAUUGGUUGAACAAGGAGGAGUGUGCACCAUAAUCAAUAUAACCUGCUGCAGUUAUGUAAACACCUCAGGUCACAUAGAAGAAGAUAUACAGAAAAUACAUGAACAAGCUGUGUGGUUGCGUAAAUAUAACCAAGGCACCAAUCCCAACUGUAUCUGGUCAGCCAUUAGAAGCACCCUCCUGAGUCUCACUUGGUUGUUGCCCUUCCUAGGAACUUUGAUAGUUGUCUUAUUAUUAAUCUUUGGCCCUUGCUUGUUUAAAUUCUUGGUAAAGUUUGUGUUUUUUAGAUUACAACAAUUCCACAUAAAGAUGAUACUGACACAAAGCUUCCAAUCCAUCCCGUCUUCUGAACCGGGAAAUAAAGACACCCUGCCUUUAGGUGUCUUUAGAUCUAGAUCAGGCAUCUAGAGAUUUUUACUCCUCCAAUACUUGGCAGGGUCUAUGCCCGUAGACUCAUCAGGAUACCAUGUAAAUGAGGACCUCCCUUGGUACCCCAGAGGCCAACUGUAGACCCUUAUGAGAAAAUCCUGUCCCCAAAAUGAACAUCCACUGUCAGCAGGAAGAAGUUACAGAAGACCAGCCUUUGCCCUUACGAUUAAGGGUCCUCUUGUAAGUAGAGAGGGGAAUGUUAGGAAAGCAGGAGCCUAGGUGAUCCAGAGUGACACCAUUUUAAAAUAAACUCCACCUGAAAACUAGCAAGGCAUCUGCACACAUCUGUUUAGCAAGUAUAUACUUCUGUAACUGGAAUAAAAAGCGUUAUUUUAGAAUAUGCCUAUAGUUUGUAAUAAUUAGCCGAGGGAAAAAAAGUUCACAUUGGUGUAGGAAAAGUGCCCUAAUGGUCAUGGGUAAUAAUGGGACCGUGGUUCUGGUCAGUGAUUUGAUGGAAGGGGUGUAGAUAAUAUAUUGUUGUAAAUAAUAAAAAUAAAAAAUUGUUGUAAGUAAUAAAAAUAAAAUAAUAUUGUUGUAAGUAAUAAAGUAGGAGAAAUAUUUGGUCUUUUGCUUUUGGGUUAGUGCAACAGUAGUACCAUUACUUGGAGGAGAAGUUAGAGAAGGACAAGAAUAGGCUUGAAUAAGAUGAGUGAGAAGAGAGAAAAAUUCCGUAAGUGGAGAUGGCCAGGGAACACCAGGGCAGCAGAAUCUAACUCUGAAUUUAAUGCUGUUGUCUGUUCAUAUUGCACUGCGCUGUAAUCUCCCUAUCUUUCCUAAACCAUUGGCAAAGUCUGCUAUCCACUGGGGCCUUGGGUCGGUGGUGCUUUGGGAAAUACCAGAAGAGGGAAAGUACGGCAAAUGUGCAGUGUCACAGAUGAUAGGAGGAAAGCUGGCCAGUGGGAUGAUUAAAACAAUUUCGGUGGGAGUGGGAAUUCAGACCAUGUAAAUGGUCUGAAUUAAGAAAAUUUCAAGAAACAAAAAAUGUUUCUAAUGAGCCAAAGUGAAAGCUCUUCAUGAUUUCUUUAUAGAGGCUCUCUAGUGCUUGUCCUAAUUUCCUGAAAUCUCAUGGGUAUCUUACUCUCCUGGUGCCCGCCUCAAACAUUCACUGUAGCAAUUAUAUGAGCAGCCUAGAGAAUCCCAAUCCCAGUGGUCUUGCUCCCUGGAUCUACUUUCUCUUAAAAAUCAUUCCCCUAAGUUUCCGUCACUUGGUUGAAGUUUAGUAGAUAUCUCCACAUCUCCAGCUAGAACAGCACCAGAAUUUCAGGACUAGGGCAAUAGAGUCUGAUAUUAAAUUCUAUUUCUAUCUAUCUAUCUAUCAUCUAUCUAUCUAUCUAUCUAUCUAUCUAUCUAUCUAUCUAUCUAUCUACAGAACAAUUUGUGGGAUAGUAGCUUUGGGGUCCCAGAUCUAGGAUGGGCCUGGUCCUCCAUGCUGGUUCUCCUGGGUGAUAUUUCUGUUAGUUUGAACAGUAAUCACACUUUUAUUACUGUUUCAUCUUUUUUUUUUCACUCUUAGACUGAUUUUAUCAUGUGUAUAAAACAUACACACACCUACAUCUCAAGGAUAAACAUUAAUCCUUGAAAAAUAUGUGGUCUAAAACUAUAUUGAGGAGAGAAAGAUAGGACACUUUAAUUGCCACAUGAUUAACACGAGGUCACCACACAGCUUUCACAAAUCUACAAGUCAUUCUAUUUAGGCUGAGUCAAGUUCUCCCUUGGGCCAGCCAGAGCACAAAUAAUGGAGCAAUGUGACUCUUCAAUGACAGAUCUCUGAUUUCCAGAAAAGAGACUUUGAAAUACCCAAUUCUAGUAAAUAUGCAAUUAAAUUUCCAGCUAAAUGACCUUUGCUCCUGUAGUCUUCAUCUUGGGGAAGGGAAAGAAGUCUUAUUCUGUUUAAUAGUUUGAUUUUUAUAAUAGGGUUUGUCUCUGUUAUAAAUCUUGUUUGAUAUUUAAAAUGUUAGCUAAGAGAAAACUUCUGUUUGUUUUUAUUUAGUGGGAAGAAACUAACCCUCAUUGAGUGCCUAGUUAACAUCAGGCACUUUGUACACAUAAUCAAUUGAAUCUUGACCACAACCCUGUGAGGUCCAUGGAUGAUUCUGGGUUUAGUUCUUUGUGAGACUGCCAGAAACUCCCAGAGGCUGGAUCUAUGCAUAAAGAGAGGCCAUUGGAGAGAAUGUCUACUGAAUUGCUGAAGACAAUUGCUACCGAGAAUAGAUCGUAACUUAGGAAGAAACAAUUCAGUACCAAAAGAGUAAUUGGAGCCCUUCUGGAAAACACUAGUAAGGAAGACACUCAAGCAGCACUGUGAAGAGGCGCAGGUGGUAAAACUGAAGACCUUCACAAACAGCCAGCACUAAUUUGCCAACCAAAUGACGGUCUUUGGAAAACAGAUCCUCUGGCCUCAGGUUGGUGGCUGUGUUCGAUGGGUGUUGCUUGUGACAGUUGGGGUCCUCUUCAGCAUCAGUCUCGACAUGGCUGCAACUGGGGAGUCCUUGGGAUCCUCCCAGAAUCUCUUCCUCAGCAUCUGGCUCAUAAUAAGGUUUCAGGUGUCUUGAUGGUAUCCAAAUCGGCUGUUGAUUUUGGCCUGGAGAAACACAAGCAUAACCUCUACCCCAGGUGAAAAAUGAGAAGAUUAAAUAAGCCAUGGGAAGAUUUUUUAAAAUGACAUGAAACUCCAAGGGUAAAAAGUAGGCCCUCAUGUGUAUGUUUUGAUCUGCCACUUCAUAAAAGAGUCAAAUAGCUUAAAGGAAAAGAAGAACUCUCACUGUGGCAGCAGUCCCAGUGAAAGCUCUUGGGAAAAGAAUGUGUACAAAGCAAUAUAAGAAUAAAAUGUGCUUUCUGGAAGUAAGAAUUGAACAAGCAAAGAUGGAGUUAGCUAAGGCAUUUCCACCUUUCCCUGCUUCAUCCAUACCUCCAAAAACAGAACCCUUCAAAGAACGUCCUGAGAAGAACAACUGGCCACUGAUUUUGAGUUGAACACUGGCAGGCAACACCCCAACAACCACACAGACCCCAUAGCUCUCAUUGCAGGAGGCGAGGGCAGCUGCCUGUUAGAAAGUGAUGCAAUACAGUAUAGGGGUUAAAAGAUGUAUGUGAGGAUUGAGCCUACAUCUUAAUUUCAGCUUAACUCCUAAAUGGUCUAUGACUUUCUUUUCUGAUUCUCCCUAUUCUCAUUUGAAGUAACAUUUAUCUUGUAAGGAUGCUAUGUAACCUUCUCCCGCAGUAUCCUGGUUCCCAUGCUUUCUGUACCCACGUGCCUACUCUUGCAAUCUAUACAUUGUUCCUGUUCAGCAGAGUUUGGAUGAAUACCCAACAGCCUGAGGAGACUGACUGUUACUUGAAAUGAAGGAGUGUUCUUGUUUGAACGAUCCUGCUCAGAAGGACCAGCCUGGGCUUGCAUCUCUUGUAGUAUUUUACUAAACCCUGCAACAGUAGCCACUUUUUUUCCCUGCCAAGUUAUCUAAAUGUAGAGCUUCCUGUGGUCUGAGUUUUAAGAGAUUACAGGCCAAAGAUGUAAGGGAGGCUCUCUUUGCUAGCAUGAGUCUGGUGCUCACUCCUCAGCCAAUGAAAUCUCACCAAAUUUGUGGAGUUUGGGAAGAGUUUGACAGCUACUAUGGCAGUCAUGUGGACAUCCUUGAGCAGCUGAAGGUGAUUGAGUCCAUGGAUGCAGAACCCCAGAACCUGCAGAUAUGGAGGACUGACUAUACUUGAUCAGGAUGCCCUGCCCGGAGAGGAGGAAUCUAGAGAGGCAAUCUGGCUACAGUGGCUUUGCCGAGCUACAGUGGGCUCUACCCAGUUUGAACCUCCUGGCAGCUUUGUUUACACUGUGAGGGGAAAACCAUCUACUUAAGCCUCAGUAAUGGCAGACGCUCCUCUCUCUAAGGUCAAGUGUAACUGUUUACUUCAGACUGUUGUGCUGGCUGUGAGAAUUUCAAGCCCGUGGAUCUCAGCUUGCUGGGCUCCAUGGGGGUGGGAUCCACUGAGAUAAACCACUUGGCUCCCUGGCUUAAGCCUUCUUUUCAGGCACAGAAGAAAGAUGAUGAUAAGAAGCCAUACAUUGUAAGACAUUUAGGCUCACUCAGGUCAUUCACAGUUCUGUUUUUCCUUUGACUGGACUAAGCUCCAGCUUUGAAUCCAAGUGGUGCAGUUAACAAGGAGGAGCAAGAAAGCAGGACAAAUAAAGCAGAGAGCUAGUCACCAGAGGGAUGUGUUUGAUCCAGCACACCCCUUCUCUUCAUAGCAGAGAAUCGACACCCAAUCAAUCACAGCAAAGGUGCUCACUGUGCCUGACAUUUCUAUUCUACCUAAAAUUAAUCAGCAUUGACUGAGCAUCUCCCUAGGUCAGGACAUUUCACAAAUUUGGAGUAAACUUUUAUGUGUACUCAAGGGAGAUGUUUAGAAAGGGUUAUCUUCGAAGAGACGCUUCAGAAAGGAGAGAGAAUUUGGGGAACCUUUUCCAUGAUUUGAAGAAGACGGGAAGAAGCCUCUCAACACAUGUUGGCACCUCCAUAUUGAAAUUCCCAGCGUCCAGAACUGUGAACUAAUAAAUUUCUUCAUUGUAAAUCACUAGUGAGAUUGAGACUGACACCGAGCAUUGCCUGGGAAUCACAUAAGAUAAUGCAGGGCAAGGCUGCUGAGAGCAUUGAUCUCAGGGUGCUGCUCCCCAUUACCCACACUGCUGGACCUUGUUUCCAGUUUGGGUUUAUACUGGGAAAUCUUAGGAUGGUGAACCAUCAUGUUUCCUGAAUGUGAAUCCUGUACCUGGUUUGACUGUAGUCACCCCUUCUCCAACACUCUCCACGAUGCCGGCUGCCUCAUGGCCUAAAAUCACAGGAAGUGGGGUCACCAUGGUACCACUAACCACGUGGUCAUCUGUGCCACAGAUUCCUACAGCCACCAUCUACAGAGUGAAGAGAAGAUGUUUAUAAAAGAUUGUGAGUCUCAGGAUGUUCAACAUGAUCAAUGCCAAAUAAAUAUCAGAAUACUUGGAAGUAAAGUACUAAUAGUAGGAGUUCCUGAUUAUCAGGUGCCUAUGAUGUGACAGGCACAUUGUGGCCUGUGCUCGGACCAGGAGACUGGUGAGUCCUUGUGGAUUUCUUCCCUGCUCAAGUGCAUAAAGCAGGUGUAUUGCAUAGGUUUUCCAGGCUGAGAUCAAAGACGGAGAUGUGCCUACCCGCAGAUCCUAGAUGGCCAUGUUUGCAACAGAGGUAAUGAUGAGCAGUGCGAAGAUGUGACUCCAAAGCCUGGAGAAGGACAGACCAGCAUCCCUGCAAGAGAUCCAACUGUCUUCUUUUCCGCAGAGGUCCAUAAUUUACAUGGGCCUGACAAAGAAUACUGUAACUUGCAGAAAUUAUCUUCAGUUCAAAUCCUUCAUUUUGGGGGUUAAAUAACUUGGCCAAGAUGUCGAGGGAGCGGAAAUACUUGCUGGUCUUGCAGCGGCUGUGGAGCCUGGAAUCCUGCCAAGAAGAGCAUGUGUGAGAGAUCAAAAUGUUUGCUUACAUUCCUCCUGUGAAGGGAGUUGGGAAAUAACCUAAGAAGCCCAAUCCAAAAACAAAGAUGUACCAUCCAGUCUUCUCUGUGAGAACCAAACUACAAACCAUCUGAAUGUUCCAAAAGUGUUUUGAUGAUGUAUUGAUGUAUUUUAAAUUAUCCUGAAAAUGUUCUUGGCAGAUGCUUAAACAUGUAAUUACUGAGAUGAUGUAGAAAUACCAAGUGUUUAUUAAAACAAUACAGAGUAAUACAAAUGGUAUGUUUGUCGCAAUAUAAAAGUAUCUAAAAAUUAAAGAGUUCUUUAAUGGUGG